UCCCAAGUGCUAGGAUUACAGACAUGCCGU
rnacentral:piRNA from 1 species